rnacentral:rRNA from 1 species
UACGGGGGGAGCAAGCGUUGUUCGGAUUUACUGGGCGUAAAGGGCGGGUAGGCGGCCACCGCAAGUCAGUUGUGAAAUCUCCGGGCUUAACCCGGAAAGGUCAACUGAUACUGCGGGGCUAGAGUGCAGAAGGGGCAACUGGAAUUCUCGGUGUAGCGGUGAAAUGCGUAGAUAUCGAGAGGAACACCUGCGGCGAAGGCGGGUUGCUGGGGCUGACACUGACGCUGAACUGCGAAAAGCUAGGGGGAGCGAACGGGG